CCUUUGCGACCCCAGGUC
rnacentral:rRNA from 1 species